GCGAAGAUAGCUUAAUUGGUAAAGCGCCAUGUAAACUUUAGAACAGGGCCUAGUCGAAAGACAAUAGCCCAAUUCCUAAAAUGAAUGGUCUAAAGUGGAUAAUUUCCGCGGUAAAGUGGAGAUGUGAGUUCGAGUCCUGCUCUUCGCU
rnacentral:tRNA from 1 species